AGGGAGAGGGAAGUCUAGGGUUUAAAAACAAUUAAAAACCCCCUCUAUAACAUCACCACCUCCACCACCAUCACCAUUACUCACUACUAUUAAAUUAAUAUAUGACCAAUAAUACACAGAGUUUUCUAGAGAGAGAAGUGAAAGGGCAAGGCAACAGACAGAGAGAUGGGGAGACCAAGGUGUUUCAUGGACAUCAGCAUAGGAGGAGAGCUUGAGGGUAGGAUUGUCAUUGAGCUUUACAACGACGUCGUUCCUAAAACUUGUGAAAAUUUCAGAGCUCUCUGUACUGGUGAGAAAGGCAUUGCUCCCAACACUUCUGUCCCUCUCCAUUACAAGGGAUGUCCCUUUCAUCGUAUUAUCAAGGGUUUUAUGGUGCAAGGUGGAGAUAUUUCUGCUGGUGAUGGUACUGGUGGCGAAUCAAUUUACGGAUUGAAAUUUGAAGACGAGAAUUUUGAGGUGAAACAUGAAAGGAAAGGCAUGCUAUCUAUGGCAAAUUCUGGUCCUGAUACGAAUGGGUCGCAGUUCUUUAUUACCACAACUCGGACGUCUCAUUUGGAUGGAAAACAUGUUGUUUUUGGGAAGGUUGUCAAAGGAAUGGGAGUUGUUCGAUCAAUUGAGCAUGUUGCGACUGGUGAUGGUGAUUCUCCUGCUGUUGAGGCUGUCAUAGCGGAUUGUGGGGAGAUUCCUGAGGGUGCUGAUGAUGGGAUAUGUAAUUUCUUUAAGGAUGGUGAUGUGUAUCCUGAUUGGCCAGCUGACCUCAGUGAAAGUCCAGAAGACCUUUCUUGGUGGAUGGAUGCUGUGGAUUCCAUCAAGGCUUUUGGAAAUGAAAGCUAUAAGAAACAAGACUACAAGAUGGCUCUUAGAAAAUAUCGCAAGGGGUUACGCUAUUUAGAUAUUUGCUGGGAGAAAGAUUGUAUUGAUGAAGAGAAGAGCUCAUCUCUGAGAAAGACAAAGUCACAGAUAUUCACCAAUAGCGCUGCUUGCAAGUUAAAAUUUGGGGAUCUGAAAGGAGCAUUGUUAGAUACAGACUUUGCAAUGCGUGAAGGAGAUGACAAUGCGAAAGCUUUAUUUCGUCAGGGACAGGCACACAUGCUUCUUAAUGAUAUUGAUGCUGCUGUUGAAAGCUUUAAGAAGGCAUUACAGUUGGAGCCAAAUGAUGCUGGUAUUAAGAAGGAGCUUGCAGCUGCUAGGAAGAAGAUUAAUGAUAGACGCGAUCUGGAGAGAAAGCGAUAUCAAAAGAUGUUUCUAUAGAAUUUGCGUGACUUACUGGUUGCUGGUUCCUUGCAUGAGCGAAGUUCCAGAUUUUAUAUUAGAGGUUUUGUUAGAAAGCAGGAGCAUCAAAGCCAAGUAAACUGUACAAAUCAGAGGCUUGAACCAAUUGUUGGUAGAGUUUUGAUGGUACUUAAUUAGGAAAGUAGUAGAGAGAAAUCUUGAACUGACAGGAAAAUUUGGGAACAAAAUAGACGUUUUUGACCGUUGGCCAUCAUUG